rnacentral:lncRNA from 1 species
GUACAUUUUUGUGUACUGAGCAAUUUCAGCUAUGGACCCACCCUCAAAAUUCAAAAUGGCGGCUUAUUUCAAGAUGGCUGCCGUACGUUCUAAAAUAUUUUCCAAUAUUGCACAAACCACAGUGGAUUUGAUGCUAGAAGCACAAAAAUCAACAUAUUUGAAUGACUUGGUGUACUUAGCAAGAUUUUGUUUUGAUCUAUCUUUGAAAUACAAAAUGGCGGCUAUUUUCAAAAUGGCCGCCUUGAAAAAUAAGCAAAUAUUCAUUAUUGAGAAUUGACCUGAAUAUAAGCAUUUUAUUGAUGUAAAGUGUCAUUUAUAGUAUCUGUCCCAGUUCUGUCCUUUUUGAUUUUGCCUUCCUUGUCAUUUCAUACACAAAGUAGUUGCUUUCAUAAAAAGCUGCAGUAGUAGCUUUCAUUAAAAGCUGCACUGUUUGUUGUCUUGGGUCACACAUAAAAGCUGUGGUUUGGGAUUUAUCUGCCUUAAGAUAUUAUUCAGUGCCUAUCUUAUUUCUUGGGUCGCAAUAUUUUGCUAUUUGAGAUAUUAAACUGUGAAUUGAGAAUCAUUUAAACACAUAUCAGUGAAAUGGCAGGAAUUGAGGACAACACGGACAAGAACAUUAAAAUGGCAGAAACUGAAUCACUUGGGGAUAUGGAGAAACCACAGCUGAAGACGUUUUAACAGAGGACAGCUCAGAAAUUACUAUUAAACUAUUGUACCAGGAAUUUUUAGCAGAUAGAAAAUCUAAUGCUCAAAGAACAGUUGAGAUUUACCGCAAUAUAAAACAGAGCGAAGCGCGAAUUGAUAAAAUAUGUGUUGGUCUCAUUACGUUUCAAG